AGUCCUUUUGUUCAGGAAGAGGGUGCACCCUGAUCCUAUUAUCUCAGAGGGGCUGUGGAGGGUCGCCUGGUGAUGCCUCUUCUGCAUGGUGAUGGCGCCGGAGCCAGGGAGAGCUGCACCAAGUCAUACCCCCCAUGGCGCAGGACCUUUGAUCUCGGUCAGAAGUCAGGAGGUGGACAAGCGGUGGAACGAAUUUAUCCUCAUUGUUUUCUUUUAGGAGUACUUCUCUACUUCUUAAACAAGAAGUUUUCUGAACAUUUCAAGCUUUCUACACCAGCUUCCAAUGAUGAAGAAUGACUAGGAAUAAG